AAAAUCUGGUCUGGAGUUUUUGGNCAGAGGAAAGAGGCUCUUGGAGAGGAGAGCACGAAAAUUCUAAGUGUCCAAAGGAUGGGAGAUGACUUGGUCUAGCAAGGGGGAGAAGAGUUGCUCUCUUGGAAGAAGAAGUUGAAGUGUCCAAAAGAGAUCUUCAAGAGAUGUUAUUACAGAUGCGAUGGCUGACGGUUUGAAACAUGCAUAGAGGACGAAAGAGAGAUGGGGUAGAGGACUUUGGGAUUAUGAUUUUAGUGUUUUAAAUAUUUUAUUUCGAUCCUGACUAAGUGGACAUUUUAUUUUCGAAAGAAUCGGUUUGUAAUAAUUAUUGUACUAUUUUUCGUUGAGGUUGAAGUUUUAAAUUUAUGAAGAUUCUACGUUUA